rnacentral:lncRNA from 1 species
UACAAAGGAAGGGGAGAAUGGGUUAUUUUCAAAGAAAAUUAAGGUUAAUUUUUAUAGUGAACUAGUUACGGAACCCCGCGCGUUGCGGCGGGAAGUCGAUACAAUAGUUAAUUAUUAGAACUAUUAAUAUAAUUUUUAAUAUUAUUCAUUAAUAUUUUUUAAUAAUAUUUAUUUUCGUAGCGAGUAUAUUUAGAAAAAAAAGGUAAACGGAAUCCUGCGUAUUGUGACGGGAAGUUGAUAUAAUAGUCAAUUAUUAGAACUAUUAAUAUUAUUUUUAAUAUUAUCCAUUAAUAUUUUAGAAUAAUAUGUAUUUUCGUAGCGAGUAUAAUUAGAGAAAGAAGGUAGAACAGAAAGAGAAAGCUUUUUUGCUGUAGCUAGGGCAGUAAUGGUAUUUGUGACAGAGGCAGUCCAUUAAGCGAAGGAGUAAGCACACUUCCAGCAUAAAUGAUAUCGUGUAUGCUACCAUAGUCGCUAAAUNAUUUUUCAAGAAAAACUAAUUGCUUUUAACAAUGAUUAUUAAUUUAGCAGAAAUAAAUUUCAAACUAAAAUAAUUAUAAAUUGUGGUUUAGUUUUAACGAAAAGAAAAAUUUAGGUAACUCUAUAGAAUUCUAUGAUUUUAAUUUUAAAGGAUAAGCUUGUUACAAAUGGUACCUGCUAGCAUAGUAAGGCUGGUAUGUUUUUGAAAGUAUAGAGCCUUCUAUACCUCAAAGUCAUUUUUGAUAUUGGGACAAUCGAAUCAACGAUCGGCUCCAUCAGACUUGAUCUAGAGUAUUUGAAGUAUUUAGAAAAUAAAUUUUGUAAUUUUUCGAUGUCAUUUGCCUAGUGAUUGAAGAGGUUCAAAAUCAAUAAUUUUAAUGACUAUGGUGAGCCGUUUGCAAAUUUAACGGUAUAGAAAUAUUCAACUCACAUAAAAUUUUGACAAAAAAUUUUUUAUACUAUAUAAAACAAAAUUAAUAUUUUUGAUCUAAAAUUUUAAUAUCAUAUCAUUACAUUUUAUAAGAUUUUUAUUUAUAGCCGUUGAUUUUGAGUCUUUUUAAUCACUAGACAAAUAAUAUCAAAAAAUUAUAAAAUUUAUUUUUUUUCUCAUUUUAAAUAUUCUAAAUUAAAUAUAACAAAAUUGAUCGUCAAUUCAAAAGUCUAAAUAACAAAACCAACUUGAAAGCAUGAAAGUCAUCGUAUUUUCAGAAUCACAGCGGCUCACUCCCUACUACU